UACGGAGGGUGCAAGCGUUAUCCGGAUUCACUGGGUUUAAAGGGUGCGUAGGCGGAAUGAUAAGUCAGUGGUGAAAGCCCCGAGCUCAACUUGGGAAUUGCCAUUGAUACUGUUGUUCUUGAGUUCGGUUGAGGUAGGCGGAAUGUUGCAUGUAGCGGUGAAAUGCUUAGAUAUGCAACAGAACAUCGAUUGCGAAGGCAGCUUACCAAGCCGACACUGACGCUGAUGCACGAAAGUGUGGGGAUCAAACAGG
rnacentral:rRNA from 1 species